CAAAAUUUCAAACCGAUUAUAUAAAAUAAAUUCACAUUAUUAUUCACGUUAUUUCUAUCAUCCUCAAAUUUCUCUCAACUCUCUCAGCCUUGAAGACUCAGCUGCCUCUCUCUCACACGAUUUCUUCCACACUUCGCGCUGUCUCUCUCUCACACAACUUCUUCACAAUCAAUCGUCUCUCACGCCUGCAUUUUUCUUUCAGAGGUACCCAAGACAUUGUCUGCUGAAGUUCUUGGGAAGUUGGGAGCACCACCAAAGAGUGUUCUUCCAGAAUUCCCAAGGUGCAACAAUUGUUGCAGGACUUCUUUGAUGGGAAGGAGCUCUACAAGAGCAUCAAUCCAGAUGAGGCUGUGCUUAUGGAGCCACUGUUCAAGUUGCUAUCUUGACAGGAAUGGGUAAUGAUAAAAUUCAAGACAUCGUACUCUCAGAUGUCACUCCUCUAUCCCUCGGUAUAGAGACUAAUGUUUCUACAAUAGUGAAGGCCACUGGUGUGAAAAAGAGUAUCACUAUUACCAAUGAUAAGUGGAGAUUGUCCAAUGAAGAGGUUGAGAAGAUGGUCCAGGACGCAAAGUGAUACAAGGCUGAAGAUGAUGAUCACUUGAAGAAGGUUAAGGCUAAGUUGGAUUUGGAGAACUAUGCCUACGACAUGAAGAAUGCUAUCGAUGACGAUAAAGUUGGUGCCAAGCUUCUCCCUGCUACUAAGAAAAAUAUUAAAGAUGCCAUUGAACAGGUGAUUCAAUGGUCAUUAGAUGAACGGCAGGUCAUGGAUUUAAAACUGUAUGAGGACAGGCUGACAUGGCUCAAGAGAAUCUGCAUUCCCAUUAGGACUAGUGGAAAAAAAUAAUAAAUUUGAGCCAGCCCCAUUCUACAGAAAUAUGAUAGUUACUGGAAUUCGUCAUUGCACUCUAUCAUUGCAAGGGAUGUAAUCAUUUGAAGUUCAAACUAUGUCACCGGUGUUACUAUUUCAUUACAUUUUGUCAAAAAUCUUUGGUUCAACUGUUUUCUUGCUAGUUAUUUGGCCUUGUUCUGCAAUUGUUUGAAAUUUUGAAAAAAAUGUCCACUGAUAUGGAUUGAACUUCAAGCCUUCAACCCAUAGCUUGGUUGUUGAAUUUUCUGUAAUCACACAGCUCUCAUAAAUUUGGUGUUUCA